UGUCCUGCCCAGCCUGCCAUUUUACCACAACAUCUGGCUUUCCUCAGCUAUGUGGCAGAGUAACCUAGCUCAUUCUGUCAGCGGGCCUUUAUCAGUAGCAUGUUCUGCAUUAAUUCCAGCUCCUUCACAGUGCCUGUGACUGCGGUCAUGCAGCCUGCUGGUGGAGUUCUUGCCAGCUUCCUUUAGUCAUGCAGCCUGUCCCUCCGUCUGCACUGUUGGUGCCACCUCAGCCGCAUCCCCCAGGAAAAGGUGGUAGCCAUCCUGGAUCUCUAUAAGGAUAAAAGAGCUUUUAGAAUUGACCUGAUUUCCACAAGUGCAAGGCAACGACAGACGCUGUCUUCUACAUUGGGCUCUCAGGUUAUGGCGCAUUUCUGAGAACCAAGCCAUUUGCUGCUACUUCUGCACUUCUGAAACUA